CUGAGGUAGGAGAAUCACUGAACCCAGGAGGUGGAGGUUUCAGUGGGCCAAGAUUGUGCCAUUGCACUCCAGCCUGGGUGAGACUCUGUCUCUAAAAAAACAAAAAUAAUAAUAUUGAAGUAAAAUGAGUAUUUAUAAAGUGCCUAUUAAAUGCCUGAUUGAUCACUGGCCUGCUCACUUCAAGGGCUGUUCUUAUUCUAGGAUUAGACCAAUAAAGCAGCCACAACUGGUAAAUUGUCACUCAUGAAGGCCGAGGGAAAGACAGCCUUUGAGGGUCUUUUGCUGGGAAUUAAACGUUCUGCCUCAAAAACUAUACAUGUCAUUUCCAUUCACUAGUCUUUGAGACGUCACAUGGCCACCCAGGAGUGUGAUAGCAGACAUGUAAUCCUACCAUAAUUCUGGGAUGGGAAGAGCUGGCGAUAUUUUGGAAUAACAUUAAAGACUGCCACAAACAUUGUAAAGAUAGUGUUAUCAUCACGCUUCAAAAGAAACUGCAACACGGGGGUGAGGUGACCUGUCCGUAAUCAUUCAGUGAGUAAAUAAAGCAACAAGGAUUCAGA
rnacentral:lncRNA from 10 species